rnacentral:tRNA from 1 species
GGAAUUUGGCUCAGUGGUAGAGCGCUUGCCUAGCAAGCACAAGACCCUGGGUUUGGUUCCCAGCUCCG